rnacentral:lncRNA from 1 species
AUGACAGUGCUUGUGACAAAGAAACAACACCAUCUGUGUCAAACACCCUACCCACACCACCCGCGAUGGAGCAAAGCACAGUUCUCUGAGGGCUCUGUUUUGCCGCAUGGCUCGUUCAUUUGCCAAAAGCCUGGGCAGCCAGUGAGCUCCAGAGUUGAUUUGAGGACUGUUAGCAGCCCAAUCUCCCUCAGAAGAAUCCGGAAGUUUACCAAGCCAGUCCUAAACCUCCCGAGGCCUGCUGAGCAGAAAGGAAUGCAUUUUAUCACAACAGACACUGCCUGCAGAUUUCCUAGAGAUCCAAGAGGAAAAUGAAUUCCACACAGAGCCUGUCUCAGGCAGGAUUGUGAAAGAGGGGUAAGGACUCUUUUUUGUUGUUCUUGUUCUUUGAGAUAGGUUCUCACUACAGCCCAGGAUGGCCUCGAACUCUUAGUGACCCUCCUCCUCAGCCUUCCAGAGUGCUGGGAUUACAGGCGUGCGCCGCCACACCUGGCUGGGACUGAGGACUCAAGGAAAAACGGCCUUACUGGGCUUCCAUUAAAACCUGACUGACAGCAGCAAAGAGGCUGUGCAAUGACUCAGAGUAAAAAGUUGUCUGUAGCAGAAUCUCUAUAAAUCACAAAUAUUAAAAAUUAAAGCACAGGGCCGGGGAUUUAGCUCAGUGGUUCCAGCACUUGCCUUGUAAGCACAAGGGCCCGAGUUUGAUCCCUGGUGCCAAAAAUAAAAUAAAAUAAAACACAGCUACUGGAAAAAAUUUUGGUGCGCUUUACACAUGAGUACUUCUGAGUAAUCUACCUAGAAAUAACAUACAAAAAAAAAAAGAAAUAUCUCUGAUUUAAUACUUUUUCUAUGACUGAUAGAUGUUUUUAUAAUGUAGUAAGUACUACUGCAAUGGGUACAAUAAAUUUUAAGUCAUAAUUUAAAAACAUCUACACAAUGGCUUGGCAUAGUAAUAAUGAACAGCUGUAAUCGCAGAACUCAGGAGGCUGAGGCAGGAUGAUCUCUGAGUUAGAGGCCAGCAUGGGCUGCACAAUGAUUUCAAGCCCAGCCUGCAUAGCAAGACCCUGUCUCCACAAAAGGAAAAAAAAAAUCCACAUAAUGUCUUAGUGCAUCAGGUUAAUGAUGAACAUUGCCAUGAGUCUAAGGGGCCUAACACCCAUUCCUGAUUGCUAGUCCUUCUCUUUCUCAAAUUGCAGGGAGGUUAACAUGGGGCUGAAUCUUUCAGGUCCACAACAGGUCUGCCCUGGUAGCUUCCUGUUCCCCAGUAUGCUGGAAAUUUCAGGCAUAAGACAGCAGCUCAGAGAGAAAGCAUCAACCCAGUAUCAACAAUGACAUAAUGCUACACAGUCUGCAAACUCCUAUCCAAAUUAAAACAAGAGCCAGGGAUUUAGCUCAGUGGCGCCGCACCUGACUCACAAGUGCAAGGUCCAGAGUUUGAUCCCUGAUACAAAAAAAAAAAAACAAAAAAAAACAAAAAAAAACAAAAAAAAACCCACAAAAACCCCAACAAAUUAAGGUGUAUUUUGGGACUCUACUUUUAGAGAAAACCUGAAUAGUUUAAAAUGCAAAAUGUCUUAAGCAACAGUAUAUUCUUUUUAGGGCUGGGGAUGUAGCUCAGUGGUAGAGUAUUGUAAAAAGAAAAAAGAAAGAUAAUAUUUUCUUGCUAAGAAAUUUUAAGUUAAGGGAAGUGGGACAGCAAGUGCUUGUGCUCUGGAGAUCCUCAGAUGGUGGAGACAAGAUGGGUCAUUGAGCCAGCCUGGUCACCACGAGGAGUCUCCGUGUCAAUCAGCACGGUCCCUGUGCAAGGCUGGUGUGCAAACUGGUAAAGCAGCUCAUUUUCUCAGUUAUUCAAAAAGAAAGAAAAGAGCCGGGCAUGGUGGCGCACGCCUGUAAUCCCAGCAAUUGGGAGGCUGAGGCAGGAGGAUUGCUGUGAGUUUGAGACCAGCCUGGGCUACACGGUGAGUUCCAGGUCAGUCUCAACCACACCCUCUCUCAAAAAACCAAAAAACAAACAAACAAAC